rnacentral:rRNA from 1 species
UACAGAGGGUGCGAGCGUUGUUCGGAAUUAUUGGGCGUAAAGGGCGCGUAGGCGGUGCGGUAAGUCACCUGUGAAAUCUCCGGGCUUAACUCGGAGCCUGCAGGCGAAACUGCCGUGCUUGAGUGUGGGAGAGGUGCGUGGAAUUCCCGGCGUAGCGGUGAAAUGCGUAGAGAUCCGGAGGAACACCAGUGGCGAAGGCGACACGCUGGGCCGUACCUGACGCUAAAGCGCGACAGCAUGGGGAGCAGACGGG